GUGGGGAAUCUUGCGCAAUGGGCGAAAGCCUGACGCAGCCAUGCCGCGUGAAUGAUGAAGGUCUUAGGACUGUAAAAUUCUUUCACCGGGGACGAUAAUGACGGUACCCGGAGAAGAAGCUCCGGCUAACUUCGUGCCAGCAGCCGCGGUAAUACGAAGGGGGCUAGCGUUGCUCGGAAUUACUGGGCGUAAAGGGCGCGUAGGCGGACAGCUUAGUCAGAGGUGAAAGCCCAGGGCUCAACCUUGGAAUUGCCUUUGAUACUGGCUGUCUUGAGUUUGGGAGAGGUGAGUGGAACUCCGAGUGUAGAGGUGAAAUUCGUAGAUAUUCGGAAGAACACCAGUGGCGAAGGCGACUCACUGGCCCAAUACUGACGCUGAGGCGCGAAAGCGUGGGGAGCAAACAGGAUUAGAAACCCGUGUAGUCC
rnacentral:rRNA from 1 species